rnacentral:rRNA from 1 species
AUACGUAGGUGGCAAGCGUUGUCCGGAUUUAUUGGGCGUAAAGCGAGCGCAGGCGGUUUCUUAAGUCUGAUGUGAAAGCCCCCGGCUCAAACGGGGAGGGUCAUUGGAAACUGGGAGACUUGAGUGCAGAAGAGGAGAGUGGAAUUCCAUGUGUAGCGGUGAAAUGCGUAGAUAAAUGGAGGAACACCAGUGGCGAAGGCGACUCUCUGGUCUGUAACUGACGCUGAGGCGCGAAAGCGUGGGGAGCAAACAGGAUUAGAUACUCUGGUAGUCCACGCCGUAAACGAUGAGUGCUAAGUGUUGGAGGGUUUCCGCCCUUCAGUGCUGCAGCUAACGCAUUAAGCACUCCGCCUGGGGAGUACGACCGCAAGGUUGAAACUCAAAGGAAUUGACGGGG